GGGGCUGUAGUAUAGUUGGCAGUAUCCGGGGUUCGGGGCCUCGUGGCCGGGGUUCAAAUCCUCGCAGCCCCA
rnacentral:tRNA from 1 species